AAAACCCACUGGGAUGUUCUGAGCCUGAUGUUGGGGGAGGGAAGCACUAUAUUCCCCAGGAGCUGUAAGACCUUAGCCAGCAUGGACCAGCAGAAGCCAGGAAACUGUACACUGGGUGGGAACCUGAGGGUGUUUUAUCCAGGGGACUGGUAUACAGCAUUGAAUAAAGGAGAGCUGGCCAAUCUGGGAGUGCUGUCCUAGGAUUCAGGAUUUAGCACACUAACAUGGAGCCCGGGAGAUGGGAGAUUAUCCUGGUGAAAGGGACACCAGCCACACUGAAGUCCAAGCCAGAGCUGAUGAUAGGAGAGGCUGCUACAGAACUCGGCUCCCUCAUGGCAAUCAGGAUGGUAUAAUUCCAAAACAACAGAGGCCACGUGGAAACACCAGAAGCCAGUCCAGGCUGAUUUUGACUGUCACAGAGAAAAGUGUUCAAGAAGAUGUUGAAGAAAUAUUCACCCUGACUGCAAAUCCCCACACUGAGAAAUAAGGAAACGGAGGCUUUGAGGCAUUAAGGCGCUUGCACAAGGUUGCAGCAAGUGUGGAAUCGGGACCAGAAGACAGACAAGACAGGAAUACGCUCAGCUUACAAACUACAGUUCCAAUGGCCAAUACGAUAAAAGGAAGUUAUUGGGUGAAACCUCAGGAAAUGCUAUUGAAGGGGAAGCUUAUGCUUCUGACAGUCAGCCUCUGAGCUUUCCCUCUUCUUUCUUUUCCCUGCCUGGGACUCAGGAGUGAGAGGGGAGCUGAAGCAGAUGUCGUGACCAUGAUGUAGGCUUGUGGAGAAAUGCCAUGUUUUAGGACUGGUGAAGCAGAAGACAGAGUUGGGGUCUCUCAUGACAUCGUGGGGCCUCCCUAGCAGCCCUGGACCACCUGCUUCUGAGAAAUUUCAGAUUACAUAAGAGAAAGACACCCCUACCUAGCUGAAGCCCCUGUGACUCGGCAUAUGUUGGUAGCAGCCACAUGCAGUUCCUCACCGGCUCACACAUAUUAGUGGGCGGCUUUAAGGAGAGACCUUGUCACACUCUGGCCCUCGCUGUCUUUAUAAAAUGUGGCCAUGACUUUGAUAACCCCAUGGGCCCUCCCAGCUCUCACAUGACAGCCCCCCAUUUCCCCCUCCUGAGUCUGGGGGUGACUCAGUGCAGAGUUUCCUUGGUCUCAUCUGUCUCUCUCUCUCCUUUCUCUGCGAUGCAGCAGCCUGGUUGGGGCCUAGAAGGCUUCAGGCCAGCCAUCCAGAUCACCUGUUGCUGCCCCUCCAAUGUGGCCCGAAGGGGUCGCUCUCAGCGCACCUUCAGAGCUGGAGGGUCCUUGUGGCCAGCAGGCUAGGUGGACAUUGUCCCUGCAAGCUCAGCCCCGCCCUUCCCAUUCCAAGCCGCCUCUGUUGCCUCUCCUCCUCAGUGGAAUGAAAGCAAAACUUCAGCAAAAGACAGCAAUUGGAGAAUUGCUUAAAUGAAGAAGAAAUAGCAGUCACAGCCCAAUGUCCAUCAAGUGGCUACAUUUGGAAUUGGCCACAUGGGGUCACUGCACCCUCAGGAAUGGAGGGACUUCGGCAGGGUGCCUCUGUCUCUGAAGCAUGGACUGGAGAAAGCUGCUGCCUGUGGAAGGGAUGGGAGAUGCUCCUUUUCUGCAAAGUUGAGCUGCCUGGGACAUGCUAAGUCCCUCCCCACGGCCAGGCGGGAAGGCGCUUAGUGUAAGGCCUUGAACCAGAGAACAGUCUUCCAAAAUAUUACUCUUACCGUGAUUUUCAUUGUUAUUACAGGAUUUUGGAAUUCCUACGUACUCUUUUUGUUGUUGUUCACAGCUGAUGAAAUCUGUAGAUCCUCUCUGUAAAAAGGUGUGAAUAUCAAAUGCAAUAAAUCCAGGUCCUGGAUGGUGAGU
rnacentral:lncRNA from 10 species